rnacentral:rRNA from 1 species
UUUGACUCAACGCGGGGGAACCUCACCCGGCCCGGACACCGCGAGGAUUGACAGACUGAGAGCUCUUUCUCGAUUCGGUGGGUGGUGGUGCAUGGCCGUUCUUAGUUGGUGGAGCGAUCUGUCUGGUUAAUUCCGAUAACGAACGAGACCCCAACCUGCUAACUAGCCCUCGGGUCCUGCUUCUGUUGGGCCCGACGGAAUGAUUCGCUUCUUAGAGGGACUCGCGGCGCCUAGCCGCACGAAGGGGGGCGAUAA